UCCGUAGGGGGCAAGCGUUGUGCGGAUUUACUGGGCGUAAAGAGCGUGUAGGCGGCCUCACAGGUCCGUUGUGAAAACUGAAGGCUUAACCUUCAGACGUCGACGGAAACCGUGUGGCUAGAGUCCGGAAGAGGAGAGUGGAAUUCCUGGUGUAGCGGUGAAAUGCGCAGAUAUCAGGAAGGACACCAAUGGCGAAGGCAGCUCUCUGGGACGGUACUGACGCUGAGACGCGAAAGCGUGGGGAGCAAACAGG
rnacentral:rRNA from 1 species